rnacentral:rRNA from 1 species
GAUGAACGCUGGCGGCGUGCCUAAUACAUGCAAGUCGAGCGAACAGACGAGGAGCUUGCUCCUCUGACGUUAGCGGCGGACGGGUGAGUAACACGUGGAUAACCUACCUAUAAGACUGGGAUAACUUCGGGAAACCGGAGCUAAUACCGGAUAAUAUAUUGAACCGCAGGGUUCAAUAGUGAAAGACGGUUUUGCUGUCACUUAUAGAUGGAUCCGCGCCGCAUUAUUAAGUUGGUAAGGAAAGGGUUUACCAAGGAAACGAUGGGUAGCCGACCUGAGGGGGUUGUCGGCCACCCUGGAACUGGGACACGGUCCCGACUCCUACGGGAGGCAGCAGUAGGGAAUCUUCCGCAAUUGGCGAAAGCCUGACGGAGCAACGCCGCGUGAGUGAUGAAGGUCUUCGGAUCGUAAAACUCUGUUAUUAGGGAAGAACAAAUGUGUAAGUAACUAUGCACGUCUUGACGGUACCUAAUCAGAAAGCCACGGCUAACUACGUG